UACGUAGGGUGCAAGCGUUGUUCGGAAUCAUUGGGCGUAAAGAGCGUGUAGGCGGCCUGACAGGUCUGCUGUGAAAACUCGAGGCUCAACCUCGAGAUGUCGGCGGAAACCGUCUGGCUAGAGUCCGGAAGAGGAGAGUGGAAUUCCUGGUGUAGCGGUGAAAUGCGCAGAUAUCAGGAAGAACACCUAUGGCGAAGGCAGCUCUCUGGGACGGUACUGACGCUGAGACGCGAAAGCGUGGGGAGCGAACAGG
rnacentral:rRNA from 1 species